GCAAGUCGAGGGGUAACAGGUUCCUUCGGGAAUGCUGACGACCGGCGCACGGGUGAGUAACGCGUAUGCAACUUUCCUGUAACUGGAGGAUAGCCCCUGGAAACGGGGAUUAAUACUGCGUAAUACCUAAAUACCGCAUGGUAUUAAGGUCAAAUCUACGGAGGUUACAGAUGGGCAUGCGUGCCAUUAGCUAGAUGGUAAGGUAACGGCUUACCAUGGCAAUGAUGGCUAGGGGUUCUGCAAGGAAGGCCCCCCACACUGGUACUGAGACACGGACCAGACUCCUACGGGAGGCAGCAGUGAGGAAUAUUGGUCAAUGGAGGCAACUCUGAACCAGCCAAGCCGCGUGAAGGAAGACUGUCCUAUGGAUUGUAAACUUCUUUUGUGGCAGAAUAAACUACCGUACUUGUACGGUAUUGCAUGUAUGCCAUGAAUAAGCAUCGGCUAACUCCGUGCCAGCAGCCGCGGUAAUACGGAGGAUGCAGGCGUUAUCCGGAUUUAUUAGGUUUAAAGGGUGUUCAGGCUGCCUGGUAAGUCAGAUGUGAAAGCCCGGGGCUCAACUCCGGGACUGCAUUUGAAACUGUCAAGCUAGAGUACAGGAGAGGAAAGCGGAAUUCCUAGUGUAGCGGUGAAAUGCGUAGAUAUUAGGAAGAACACCAGUGGCGAAGGCGGCUUUCUGGACUGUAACUGACGCUGAGGUACGAAAGCGUGGGGAGCGAACAGGAUUAGAUACCCUGGUAGUCCACGCUGUAAACGAUGAAUGCUAGGUGUCGGGCGUCAAAACUCGGUGCCGAAGUUAACGCAUUAAGCAUUCCACCUGGGGAGUACGAUCGCAAGAUUGAAACUCAAAGGAAUUGACGGGGGCCCGCACAAGCGGUGGAGCAUGUGGUUUAAUUCGAAGCAACGCGAAGAACCUUACCAAAUCUUGACAUCCUUCUGACCGUUCCUUAAUCGGAACUUUCCUUCGGGACAGAAGUGACAGGUGGUGCAUGGUUGUCGUCAGCUCGUGUCGUGAGAUGUUGGGUUAAGUCCCGUAACGAGCGCAACCCUUAUUUUUAGUAGCCAGCGGGUCAAGCCGGGGACUCUAGAGAGACUGCCGGGGAUAACUCGGAGGAAGGCGGGGAUGACGUCAAAUCAUCAUGCCCCUUAUGAUUUGGGCUACACACGUGCUACAAUGGCGGAUACAAAGGGAAGCGAAGGGGUGACCUGAAGCAAACCUCAUAAAGUCCGUCCCAGUUCGGAUUGUAGUCUGCAACUCGACUACAUGAAGUUGGAAUCGCUAGUAAUCGCGAAUCAGAAUGUCGCGGUGAAUACGUUCCCGGGCCUUGUACACACCGCCCGUCACACCACGGAAGUCGGAAGCGCCCAACGCCAGUGACCCAACCUUUUGGGGGGAGCU
rnacentral:rRNA from 1 species